UACGAGGGGUCCAAGCGUUGUUCGGAAUCAUUGGGCGUAAAGCGGGUGUAGGUGGCUCUGUAAGUCAGGAGUGAAAGCCCCGAGCUUAACUUGGGAAGUGCUUUUGAUACUGCUGAGCUUGAAUGUGGGAGAGGAUCGUGGAAUUCCAGGUGUAGUGGUGAAAUACGUAGAUAUCGUUUGGAACGCCAAUGGUGAAAACAGGUAGCUGGGAGUGUGCCGACGCUGAGACACGAAAGCCAGGGGAGCGAACGGG
rnacentral:rRNA from 1 species